rnacentral:lncRNA from 1 species
AAAUUUGUAGAGUUGCAGUUAAUAUAGCUCCAUUCAACUAAAACUCAAUAUACUCCCUAUGUCACAAUUUAGGUGGGGCGGUUCAAAUUUCGAGAGUUUUGACCAUGAAUUCGGAUGUAGAAUCUUUAAAUCUUUUGAAAUACAUUUAUAUAUUUGAAAACUACGUAAAGAGUACUAUAAGUCACAAUAAUAUAAUUAGUAAUUUAUAAUAUUUAAAAGGCAUAUGAGAAAAUCAUGAUCAAAGUAAAACUACUCUCGAAAUUCAAAUGGUGCCAAAUUCAAAUGGUGCCACAUAAAUUGAGACGCAGGGAGUAGUUACAUUGCCCCGACAUUUUUAGUUCAUUAUUCAUACAAAGGCAGAAACUAUAAACACAAAGCAGCAAGAAGAAAGGCAGCAACAGUGGUACAGAGUCACCAUUUUCCUUCUCCACUACAAAAAUUUAAUUUUGCAUGAUAUUUCUCUCCUUUCCAUUACUGAGUAGCUUUGCAGCCAAAGCCUCAACAGGAAGCAGGGUAUAAUAUUGGCUUUUUUCUUCUCCCCUAACAAAGGGUUACUACUGACAGCUCACUACUGUGAAGUGACUGAUUUUUCUCAAAUAUAAUGUCAACAUCUACAAGCAGCAAAAACCAAGAAGCAUCAUAAAAUGAAACUUAUCAUAUGCUUAUGCUAAUCCAAUAGAAGAAAUAAUAACAAAAAUGAUGGAUAGAAUAUUUAUCCACACCAACAAAUAUGUAAAAUUUAUCAAGUGAAAUAUAGCAACUGACAAAUUAUUCAAUUGCCAAAAAAAUAUACUUCUCAUCAGUGUCUCCAAACAUAAUAUUGACUGCAAAAAUUGAUCAUGUGAGUAAAACUAAUACCAAUCGAACUAAAUAACAUAUUAUAAUAUUGGCAACCAUAAACUAGUAGAAAUAGAAAAUGACUAUUUUUUUGCCCGCUGAAAGCUAGUCGACUCACAUAUCUUAAAUUCUCAAUUCAAAACUGCACUCAUGGGAGGAUUAGUAACGACUAAUAUCCCAGUCUUGUCUCUCUUAAGCAUGUUUUUCUAUUAGGUCACUAUUUAAACAUUUUUUUUCCAAAUGGCUUUAGAAUAAACAACAUUCUAUGUAACAUGGUCAUCAUGACGAACUAAUGUAGAGGCUCAAACUGAAUUUUUUUUGUUCAGCAAUACUUGCAACAGGGUUUCUAGUGGACAGGAUGACUUUCUGCUUUUUCACCUACACUAUAUGAUGAUCCUACACUGUAACUUCUCAAAUUUUCUGCCUUUUUUAUUUAUCAGUUGGUGCAUCCUUUUUUACUCUUCUUUCUGUGAAAAAUUUAGAACCACUAAUGAAAAAUAUAAUAUAGUGGAGAUCAGUGUUGAUAAUGAAUCAUAAUGUGAUAUUGUGCACCUAUACUACCAUGCCGUAUUCCACUUGCAAGCAUAUCAAAUGUAGCAUAUUUUCGAUCCCCUCUUUUAGCUCUGUUUAUAUUAACUUACUAAAUUUUUUGGAGUAGAACCAUUUUCUAAAUAAUAUGUGAAGUGUAAAAGAAUGAAUUUAAACAUGAGAGGCCAUAGUCAUGGUAAGAGAGCUUGUUUCGUUAGUCUGGCCUCCUUAAGAUUGCAACGAAGUUACAGUUUUGUAAUUUUAAAUUGUCAUCAUUUUUCCAAUCCACAUUAUCAACGAUUCAACAACAUUAGAUGCAAAUUUACUUGGUUUUGCAUUGAGACAAUUCAUUUGAUGAAAAAGAGUAAAUUUAUCUUUCUCAAUCUAUGAAAGGACAUAGUCAUGGCCAUUGAACGAUUAAGUCUUUCUGUUUUGCAAUGUCUAUAAUAUUUCUUGAAAUCUUUUUGCAUUUGGUCUCAGACAUAUACAGACAUAACUACUUCAUUCUAUAUCAAAACAGACGAAAAUAGAACUCAAAUUGUGUUAGCAUAAAUACUUAAAUUUAACAUUAACUCGAAACUUUAAACCCGAGAAGGCUAAGAUUUAAGGAUGUGCGCAAUCUAAGUUAGGAAGUCUUGAAGAUAAGUCAUAGAAACAAAGGCUAUAAGCUACCCAAAAUGUAUUAUACUAAAUUGUAAGCUUGCAAAAUUGACUUCUUGAAUUACCAUUUUCAGUUGAUGGAUUGAGAAAUGUGUUCAGUUGAUUCUUGCUGAUUGCCAUGAGAGUGGUCUCUAUGGAGGCUGCGCAUACAGAACAAAACAAAAAAGUGUUAAACGAAACUUCUGAUAUCUUACAACAACAAAAAAUCUAGUUGAAUUUUGAGAGUUCAGAAACAUUUUCUUACAUUUUGGCAGCGUAAUAGAAAGCACCUGAAAAUCCAUUAUGUCAUGAUUCAUUUAAUUUGACCUCAAAGUCUUUGAACUCCUGCAGGACAGUUGUAGCCUUUGAACUUGGAUGCGUAUACAAAUUAGCUAUCAUUCUUGGGAAAUGUAAGCAACCUGAAAGCUCAAUCUUUAAACUUAGAAGGUAUACAAAGCUGAGAUUUUACUCCUGAACCUUACAAAGAAAGCUUGACUUUCUAACAGUGACUUUUCUCCAAACAUGUAUUCUGUGUCAUGUAAAGAAAACAUAUGUAACAUGUAUAUAAUUUAAUCAUUGCAAUGCUGUCUCUCAUGUUACAUGAAAAAAUCACUAAAAUAAAAUUCACAAAAAAAUGGUCAGCUAUAAGAGCAUGCAUGUGCAGACUCAGUGAAUCAACCAAGCAAUAGGCCAAAAGAAAAUGAGGCAAGUCGAAGCUUAUUGGAAAGAGUAGUAGAGCUAAUGGCCAAAUGGAAGAGGAAGAGUAAAAGUAACAGGUAAUCAAAUGCAACAAACGGGUAACCUUAUCUUUUCCAAUGCCAUUGCAUCAAUAUCUUUGUUUGCUUCAUAAAGAAUAUAGAAAAAGAAUAAUCCAAUGACACUGCUUCAAGAACGGAGCUUGGGCUCCAGUUGAAAGUACCAAUCUUACUCAAUUAAAAUUAGAAACAAUUAUGUAUCUCAAACAUGCACCUAGACAUCUAUAUACAAACAUGCAUCUGUAAAUAAGAAACAGUAGUGACAUGCAUGUACAAAAUCCAGCAAGAACCUAUGCAAGAGAAUCUAGAAAAACUAUCAAAUAUCCACCAAAUUCUUAUUACCAAGAAACAAAGGCAAAAAUCAAAGAAAGAAUCGAAAAAAACUUACUAUAUCAGAAAAUACAGUAGACCCACACCUUGUUCCCAAACUAACCAAUUGCACAAGUUUUAUUCUUUUCAAUCGGAUGCCCUCUGAGGGGACACAAAUUGCACAAGUUUCCAUUAACAUCUUAAGGAGGGAUUUAGGGCUCAAAAUAAAGACUGUUGCAAUUUCUAAAAAUCUUGCAGCAAAAAUAAAAAGAGUAAAAAUCCUUACCAGAACCCAUAGAUUCAAUGGAGGGCUAUAUAAAAACAGUAAAACUAAGAAGUGAGUCAUGUAAGAAGCAGUGGUGAUUAAACAAAGAAAAGAAAGCAGAAAACUCAAACUAAUUGAGAAAUAGAGAAAUUAGCCGAGAAAACUUGGAACCAAAUUAAAACAUCUCAAAGAGAUCAAAUUGAAGGAUGAUGAUCAGAAUAGUUUCUAGAAUGGACUAUUGGAGUGUGGCAGUAAAAAAAUAUAAAUUGAAAGUGGAAUACACGUGUUUAGAGAUGAAUAGGAUGAAGAAACUCAAUCACCAAUUUACCCUAAAAAAUAAAACUAAUUAGAUGGUGUAAGUCAAGGAUAUAAUAGACAAACAACCAUAUACUCAUUUAAUGAAAUGGCCAACUACACGUUACUAUUCACAUGGAAUCUAGUAAAACAACAUGUUCGUC